AUUGAACGCUGGCGGCAUGCCUUACACAUGCAAGUCGAACGGCAGCACGGGGGCGAACCCUCGUGGCGAGUGGCGAACGGGUGAGUAAUACAUCGGAACGUGCCCGACUAGUGGGGGAGUAGCUCGGCGAAAGCCGGAUUAAUAUCGCAUACGACCUACGGGUGAAAGCGGGGAGUCGCAAGACCUCGCGCUAUCAGAGCGGCCGAUGUCAGAUUAGGUUGUUGGUGGGGAAAGGCCGUACCAAGCCGACGAUCUGUAGCUGUCUGAGAGGACGACCAGCCACACUGGGACUGAGACACGGCCCAGACUCCUACGGGAGGCAGCAGUGGGGAAUUUUGGACAAUGGGCGAAAGCCUGAUCCAGCCAUGCCGCGUGCGGGAAGAAGGCCU
rnacentral:rRNA from 1 species